CGCUGGCGGCAGGCCUAACACAUGCAAGUCGAGCGCGCCCUUCGGGGUGAGCGGCGGACGGGUUAGUAACGCGUGGGAACGUACCCUUUGGUAGGGAAUAGCCACUGGAAACGGUGAGUAAUACCCUAUGAGCCCUUCGGGGGAAAGAUUUAUCGCCAAAGGAUCGGCCCGCGUUAGAUUAGGUAGUUGGUGGGGUAAUGGCCUACCAAGCCUACGAUCUAUAGCUGGUUUUAGAGGAUGAUCAGCAACACUGGGACUGAGACACCGGCCCAGACUCCGUACGGGAGGCAGCAGGUGGGGAAUCUUGGAACAAGUGGGGGCAACCCUGAACUCCAGCCAUGCCGCGUGAGUGAAGAAGGCCUUAGGGUCGUAAAGCUCUUUCGCCUGUGAAGAUAAUGACGGUAGCAGGUAAAGAAACCCCGGCUAACUCCGUGCCAGCAGCCGC
rnacentral:rRNA from 1 species